CUCACUCAGGCGGAGGCUAUGCGUCUCACCUGUGGUCACGAGUUGUUAGUUCGUUCGUGAUGUAGGAAUUCAAGCUUUCGGGCAGAAGCUAUGGCCGACGCCAGAGGCCACGAGUCGUUUAAUUUAAGUUAGGUCAUAAUGUAGUCAUCUUCAAGCUUUCGGGCGGAGGCAAUGGCCUUCGUCACUAGUCGUUUAGUUAUAAUUUUUAAAAUGUAAUGUUCGUUCGGAUUUUAAGGGCAGGAGAGGCCCCUACGUUAGUUUUAAGUAAUCGAUCAAGAAAGGCUUUUCGGAAAAUGUGAGUAUGGACUUAUCUUUGUUUUAAUUUUAAGUAUUAAUUAUGAUUUGAGGUAUUCGGAAGGACUAGGGAAGUGUUUAGUGAAGUUCUCUCAUUCUCUCUCUUGUAAGGUCGUUCAAUCGUUAAGGAAGUAAAGAGAUUAUUGUUUUAAAUUGUAAUCCCGCUAUUUAAAUGUUCUUUAAAAUGAUGUUGAGUAUUUGACUUUAAGAAUAAAAUAAUUUUAAUUAAGUAUUAUGUUAUUUUGCAAAAUCUCCUUAGUUCAGCUCUCACCAGACAUCCUGUACGGGAUGACGAACCUAUGAUCCUAGGUACAGUAAAGUAUUUUAUGAAGUUAAGACUAGUUGAUGCCAAGCGAGUUGUUUCUAUGUAAAGAGCUACGAUUCUCUCCCCCCUCUGAAAGUGGAUCGUGACAGAAAUGGCGGUGGCACCGGCUAGGUGCACGUGACAGAAAUGGUGGAGGCGCCGGGUAAGUUCUAUUUCUGGAGAGAGAGAGAGGUAGAUUUUUAUGUUUAUUAUUAAGUUAGUUUCAGCUUCUGAUAGCAGGUUAUUAAGAGUUUACUUGAGGAGAGGAUUACGGAAUUUUAGUCUAUAGUGGAGGAAGUCUUUGAGAUUUUUUUUUGACGUAACAGAUGUUUAUUUGAGGAUACUUGUAAGGAUAAAGUUUAUAGUGAUAAGUUGUUUUAAGUCGUUGAAUUUAUUGUAGAUUUAUAUCGGGGAUUAUUACGUGAGGAGAAUACGUUAUAAGUUAAAUGCUUAUUAGAGAUAAUGCAAGUGGUUUAAUUUAAUUGAAGUUCAUUUUAAGAUUGUAGGUUAAGAGAAUUAUAAUUUAAAAUAAAAAUUUUUGUCGUAAAUAGGAAUUAUUUUCAAGAGAAGUUUGUUUUGUUUUCGUGCGCGUAGGAGACGAGACGUACGAAUUAAAUCAGUCGAGGGAAGGAUAAACGUUAGAAAGGAAUUAAAGAGAAAACGAGAGUUUAUGUAAAAGAGAGUUAUAGAAUUUAUAGUGAUGUUUUGUUUUAAUUAGAAAAAUGUUGAGAGUUGUUUCAGAACGACACGUCAGUGGACGUGGCAGAAUGAACACGUGACGGGGAGGUGCUGAGACCUAGCGGAGAACGGAGGAACCGCAAGCGAGGGUUGGCGCACCUGAUGGAAUUCGGUGACGUCACGGGCUCAUACGGAGACGUGGACAGGCCGUGACCUUGUUUUGAUCAGCUGUACGGUAACUUAGCGAUAAGAAAAUAGACUAUUGGUUAAAUAAAUUUAAAUUUAAGUGUGUUUUAGAAGAAGAGGAACUUUCAGUAUAUUCCUUAAGAUGAGCUGAGCAGCAGUCCAGUUUACAAGAUGACAAGAGUUCGAGAGACAAGAUACAAGAUCACUGAAACAAGAGCCAAGACUGAAGAUUCAAGAGAAGAGAAAGCUGGCAGCCAUGGACUUACAAGUGGAGAUUAAUAAGGUCAUGUAAAGUUUUAUUUUUUUUUAUGGAAGACAGUAACUGGAGUUUUUUUUUUGUUAUAAACAUUAUUUACAGAACUUUUUAGGUUAUAGUAAUGUAAUGGAACUAGUGAGUUGUGGUAGCUGUCAAAAAGAACUAAUACCUUAAGUUUAAUUUUUAAAGUUAAUUUUCUUAAUUUACAGAGGGAUUAGUAGUUUUUUUUAAACCUUAUUUAGGUUGGAAUUUAAAUACAAUAGCUUAUUAUAAAUGUGUACGAACAGUUCAAGUUCACAGUACUGAUAGGUAGGUCAGAUGAUCUUAUUGAUUUUGAUGAUUUGUUGUUUUGAGUUGAUUUUUAAGUGUUGUGAAUUAGACAAUGAAAUAGUUCUGAAAACUUAAAUUAUUUCAAGCUAAGAAAUAGUAAAGUUAAUUGUAACUCAAAGGACACCAGAAUUUAAUUUUUUUUUGAAUUAGUAAUGUUUGAAAAUUUUAUACUUUACAAGAAAGGUUAUAAACAAACAGAUCGGAUGGAACAAGGAUGCAGUAAAUCACAAUUUCAUUUAGAAUUAUUGAUUAGCUUUUGAGGUUAUGAAGUAAAAGUAAUUAUAGUUUAAAAGUUUGAAUAAAAAAAAAUGUUUUUUUUUUAUUUGUUUGAAAUAGAAAGUUUAAAAGUUAAUUAGUCAUGAUCUAGGUGGGUGGUGGGGUGGGAAUUGGCCACUCUUUUUCCCUAUAACCUCCCUAACAUGGCCUUCUAUUACAACUAACAGAAAUAAAGAAGAAGAAAAAUGAAGAAUUAUUAGUUAGAAUGUUUCUUUCAUGAAGAUACCUGAUGAACUUUUACUGUUUGGAAGAAUAGAAGCAAGGUUAGUCAGAUAUUUUUACUCAGAAGAAGAAGAAGAUAAAGCAGUUUUAUGACUCGACAAGCCAGAGAUUGGUGUUUCCCCUCUGCGCUUCUAUUGACUACGUUGUUUACUCUCAUGGGAUAGCUGGUUCGGCACCAUGGAGAGAGAUUGGUGGGCAUUGUGGUUGCCCCCAGAAGAAAAGAAGAGUAGAAGAGGUUAUGGGUGGGUCAUGUGAACUGACCUUCAACCCAGUUACUUCGUGGGGACUAUUUGCUGUAUAGAGAAGAUCAAGACUCAAGAGUUAGGGAAAAUCAUUGGAGGUCAUGUUUCCCUUCCUUAAGUUUUUCCUAUCAAAUUAUUUGCCUGAUUAGAUUAUGCUAAGGGUGGGAUACUUUAUGUUAGCAGUUGAAUUAAUUAAUUUUAUUUUUUUGUGUGUUUGCAUCCUUGCCCAUCGAUUGCAGUUUAGUAGUUAGUUUUGUAUUUGUCAGGCGUGAUGGUAAUGCCUGUUGAUGAUGUUUCAGAAUUGUAAUCUGUUCGUGAUGAGGAUGGCACAACUCCGAAGCAGAUGUGGGGAGAAGUUGUGAGCUGCCCUGGAAGCCAGUCCAGUAGCUGUUGGAGUUGAGUGGUGUUUGCUGAUGGCCAGCCCAGGGAGCUACUCUUCUCGACAACACUGACUUCGAGGAGUUGCACCAACCUUCACGAGAUAAGAGUUUAAUUAAUUGAAACACUGUAAGGACACUUAAUUUUUUUUGAAGAACGAAAGAAGUAUGGUAAUAAACGGAAACCGAAAAAAAAAAAA